rnacentral:rRNA from 1 species
UACGUAGGGUGCAAGCGUUGUCCGGAAUUAUUGGGCGUAAAGAGCUCGUAGGCGGUUUGUCGCGUCUGCUGUGAAAACGCGAGGCUCAACCUCGCGCCUGCAGUGGGUACGGGCAGACUAGAGUGCGGUAGGGGAGAUUGGAAUUCCUGGUGUAGCUGUGGAAUGCGCAGAUAUCAGGAGGAACACCGAUGGCGAAGGCAGAUCUCUGGGCCGUAACUGACGCUGAGGAGCGAAAGCGUGGGGAGCGAACAGG